rnacentral:rRNA from 1 species
GACGUAGGUGGCAAGCGUUGUCCGGAGUUAUUGGGCGUAAAGCGCACGUAGGCGGUUCGUUAUGUCGGAUGUGAAAGCCCUUGGCUUAACCGAGGAAGUGCAUCCGAAACUGGCGAGCUAGAGUACGAAAGAGGAUCGCGGAAUUCCCGGUGUAGAGGUGAAAUUCGUAGAUAUCGGGAGGAACACCGGUGGCGAAGGCGGCGAUCUGGGUCGAUACUGACGCUGAGGUGCGAAAGCGUGGGGAGCAAACAGG